UACAGAGGGGGCAAGCGUUGUUCGGAAUUACUGGGCGUAAAGGGCUCGUAGGCGGCCAACUAAGUCAGACGUGAAAUCCCUCGGCUUAACCGGGGAACUGCGUCUGAUACUGGAUGGCUAGAGAUUGGGAGAGGGAUGCGGAAUUCCAGGUGUAGCGGUGAAAUGCGUAGAUAUCUGGAGGAACACCGGUGGCGAAGGCGGCAUCCUGGACCGGUAUUGACGCUGAGGCGCGAAAGCUAAGGGGA
rnacentral:rRNA from 1 species